rnacentral:rRNA from 1 species
AUUGAACGCUGGCGGCAGGCCUAACACAUGCAAGUCGAAUGGUAACAGGAAACAGCUUGCUGUUUCGCUGACGAGUGGCGGACGGGUGAGUAACGUCUGGGAAACUGCCUGAUGGAGGGGGAUAACUACUGGAAACGGUAGCUAAUACCGCAUAACGUCGCAAGACAAAAGAGGGGGACCUUCGGGCCUCUUGCCAUCAGAUGUGCCCAGAUGGGAUUAGCUAGUAGGUGGGGUAACGGCUCACCUAGGCGACGAGCCCUAGCUGGUCUGAGAGGAUGACCCGCCACACUGGAACUGAGACACGGUCCAGACUCCUACGGGAGGCAGCAGUGGGGAAUAUUGCACAAUGGGCGCAAGCCUGAUGCAGCCAUGCCGCGUGUAUGAAGAAGGCCUUCGGGUUGUAAAGUACUUUCAGCGGGAAGGAAGGGAGUAAAGUUAAUACCUUUGCUCAUUGACGUUACCCGCAGAAGAAGCACCGGCUAACUCCGUG